AGCAGCCGCGGUAAUUCCAGCUCCAAUAGCGUAUAUUAAAGUUGUUGCAGUUAAAAAGCUCGUAGUUGAAUUUCGGGACCAAUUUGUUGGUCGUGCCUCGGUACGUACUGGUAUUAUUGGUUUCUCCCUUCUGAAGAACCUCGAUGCCAUUAAUUUGGUGUCGUGGGGAAUCAGGACUGUUACUUUGAAAAAAUUAGAGUGUUUAAGCAAGCAUACGCUUGAAUACAUUAGCAUGGAAUAAUGAAAUAGGACGUUUGAUUCUAUUUUGUUGGUUUUUAGGAUCGACGUAAUGAUUAAUAGGGAUAGUUGGGGGGCAUUAGUAUUCAAUUGUCAGAGGUGAAAUUCUUGGAUUUAUUGAAGACUAACUACUGCGAAAGCAUUUGCCAAGGAUGUUUUCAUUAAUCAAGAACGAAAGUUAGGGGAUCGAAGACGAUCAGAUACCGUCGUAGUCUUAACCAUAAACUAUGCCGACUAGGGAUCGGAUGAUGUUAAUUUUUUAAUGACUCAUUCGGCACCUUAC
rnacentral:misc_RNA from 1 species